GAUGAACGCUGGCGGCGUGCCUAAUACAUGCAAGUCGAGCGAACAGGCGAGGAGCUUGCUCCUCUGACGUUAGCGGCGGACGGGUGAGUAACACGUGGAUAACCUACCUAUAAGACUGGGAUAACUUCGGGAAACCGGAGCUAAUACCGGAUAAUAUAUUGAACCGCAUGGUUCAAUAGUGAAAGACGGUUUUGCUGUCACUUAUAGAUGGAUCCGCGCCGCAUUAGCGAGUUGGUAAGGUAACGGCUUACCAAGGCAACGAUGCGUAGCCGACCUGAGAGGGUGAUCGGCCACACUGGAACUGAGACACGGUCCAGACUCCUACGGGAGGCAGCAGUAGGGAAUCUUCCGCAAUGGGCGAAAGCCUGACGGAGCAACGCCGCGUGAGUGAUGAAGGUCUUCGGAUCGUAAAACUCUGUUAUUAGGGAAGAACAAAUGUGUAAGUAACUAUGCACGUCUUGACGGUACCUAAUCAGAAAGCCACGGCUAACUACGUG
rnacentral:rRNA from 1 species